UUUGGUGAUGAUGGCAGAGAGGUCACACCCGUUCCCAUACCGAACACGGAAGUUAAGCUCUCUAGCGCCGAUGGUAGUCGGGACCUUGUCCCUGUGAGAGUAGGACGUCGCCAAGC
rnacentral:rRNA from 1 species